rnacentral:rRNA from 1 species
UACGUAGGGGGCUAGCGUUGUCCGGAAUCAUUGGGCGUAAAGAGCGUGUAGGCGGUCCGGUAAGUCCGCUGUGAAAGUCGGGGGGCUCAACCCUCGAAUGCCGGUGGAUACUGUCGGGCUAGAGUGCGGAAGAGGCGAGUGGAAUUCCUGGUGAUAGCGGUGAAAUGCGUAGAGCUCGGGAAGAACAUCGGUGGCGAAAGCGCUCUACUGGACUGCAACUGACACUGAGGGACGAAAGCUAGGGGAGCGAAUGGG